GCCGUCACUUCCGCUUUCUCCGAAUCUGUCGCGUGUAGAGUGAGAGUGGGGGAAGUACAAUGUAAGGAACACAUUUAAAUCGAGCUGAGCGUCUUCAGAGAGCCCCCCCUUUGGUUGCAAUGCUUUGAAGAUGAUGAUGCAUCUUACGCACGCGCAAACCCCAGGCAGGUUAUUUGCACACCGAAUGAUCCUGCUCUCUGAGUGGCUUGCUGAAGAAGAAAUGUUGAAUUUCUGUUUUCUAGAGGAAUACGUAGCUGUUGGUCAGUAAUGCAGCCAGGGACAAGACAGCAACAAAAUGAUUCAAGACCACGGACAGAGGUGUGUGUCCUUCAUCUGAUGAUUUUUACUGGAGGCACAUGUGAAGCUGGCUUUAGAUUAAAAAUAAACAGGAAUUAAAUUGUGA